rnacentral:rRNA from 1 species
CCCUUAGAUGUUCUGGGCCGCACGCGCGCUACACUGUUCGACGCAGCGAGUCUUAACCUUGACCGAAAGGUUUGGGUAAUCUUCAGCAAAGUCGAACGUGAUGGGGAUCGAUCAUUGCAAUUAUUGAUCGUGAACGAGGAAUUCCUAGUAAGUGCAAGUCAUCAGCUUGCGCUGAUUACGUCCCUGCCCUUUGUACACACCGCCCGUCGCUACUACCGAUUGAAUGGUUUAGUGAGAUCUCUGGAUUGACGCUGGCUAGGGGGCGACCCUUGGCCAGACUGUUGAGAAACUGCUCAAACUUGAUCAUUUAGAGGAAGUAAAAGGCGGAACA